rnacentral:rRNA from 1 species
CAGCCGCCGCGGGAAUACGGAGGGUGCAAGCGUUAAUCGGAAUUACUGGGCGUAAAGCGCACGCAGGCGGUCUGACAAGUCAGAUGUGAAAUCCCCGGGCUUAACCUGGGAACUGCAUUUGAAACUGUCAGGCUGGAGUCUUGUAGAGGGGGGUGGAAUUCCAGGUGUAGCGGUGAAAUGCGUAGAGAUCUGGAGGAAUACCGGUGGCGAAGGCGGCCCCCUGGACAAAGACUGACGCUCAGGUGCGAAAGCGUGGGGAGCAAACAGGAUUAGAUACCCCAGUAGUUUCUGUCUCUUAUAC